UACGUAGGGGGCUAGCGUUGUCCGGAAUCAUUGGGCGUAAAGCGCGUGUAGGCGGUCCGGUAAGUCCGCUGUGAAAGUCGAGGGCUCAACCCUCGAAUGCCGGUGGAUACUGUCGGGCUCGAGUCCGGAAGAGGAGUGUGGAAUUCCUGGUGUAGCGGUGAAAUGCGCAGAUAUCAGGAAGAACACCCGUGGCGAAGGCGGCUCUCUGGGACGGUACUGACGCUGAGACGCGAAAGCGUGGGGAGCGAACAGG
rnacentral:rRNA from 1 species